CGCCUUCAACGGCUGGGGCAUUUCCCAUCGGCUAGGGAGGGGGUCUUCUUGCAUUUGCUUUGCACUGUCCGGGACUCUUCCUGCUAGAUGACUUGACCAGGCCGAGGCCUCCCUCCUGAACACAAGCUCUUCGGGGCUCCUUUCGCCAAUGGGAGGAGGCUGAUCUUGUGGCCGGGCAUUCAACGCCCUGGGCCCUGCCGCCUCCCGCAGAUCUUCCCGGGCCUUAGGGCUUCACCUGGAGUCCCCUUCCCCUCUUGGGCCCGUGCUCUUAAACGGGCAGUGCCAAUUGCCUGGAUUACUCCAACUAACCCCUCACACCCAAGUUUCAGACACAGACCUUCGCUCCCCCACUUGCCCUUAACAAAAGCAGAUACAUACCUCGAUUACUGCCUGUUUGCUGCUUUUGCGAGCUUCUUUCCCACUCGGCUGCGGGCUGAGCAAUGGUAGGGACCUGGCUUGAUUCCUAUUUAAGUAGCCAGAGUCCAGCACAAGGGAUGGCGCUCAGUAGACCCUGCGUGAAGGAAUGAUUAAAUUGGUGCAAAAGACUAGGGUAAGCGGCAGAGAUUUAGGAGAUUAAGUCCUGCCAGGGUGUAGCCUCUGCAGGGCGGGAAGGCUGAGAUUACAAUUUUAAAACUGAAUAUUUAUUGAAUGCUUACAUUCAGCCAAUCCCUGCUUCACACCCAUCAUCUCAUUUAAUUUUUUUCCUUUUUUUUCUUUUUUAAGCCAGUAGAUAUUAACUCUUAAUCAUGACAUGAGGAAGUAGACACACUGAAGCUCAGAGAGGUUAAGUAAUUUGGCCAAAGUAACACAGCUUUCAAGGAAAAUGUUUGAAUUUGCUGAAAGUUUGAUGUAUAGGGAAGUUGACUACCGAUGUAUGACAGAAGCAAAGUAUCCACCUUUGGCACAUUUUGCGUCCACGGAAUGCUAAAAUUUGGACUUGUGUAUUUUAUGCACAUUACACCAUACAUUCAGACUAAAAAGAAUAGGAAAUUAGGCUGAUGAAAGGCUAUUACUAGACUGGUAAAAAGGGUUCUGGGGCCCUGGAAGGCCAAUUUUUCUGGACGUGAGAUUUUUUUUUAUUUUUUUGAGAUGGAGUCUCGCUCUGUCGCCCAGGCUCUGGAGUGCAGUGGCGCAAUCUCCGCUCACUGCAAGCUCCGCCUCCCGGGUUCACG
rnacentral:lncRNA from 10 species